GACGAACGCUGGCGGCGUGCCUAAUAAAUGCAAGUUGAGCGCUGAAGGUUGGUACUUGUACCGACUGGAUGAGCAGCGAACGGGUGAGUAACGCGUGGGGAAUCUGCCUUUGAGCGGGGGACAACAUUUGGAAACGAAUGCUAAUACCGCAUAAAAACUUUAAACACAAGUUUUAAGUUUGAAAGAUGCAAUUGCAUCACUCAAAGAUGAUCCCGCGUUGUAUUAGCUAGUUGGUGAGGUAAAGGCUCACCAAGGCGAUGAUACAUAGCCGACCUGAGAGGGUGAUCGGCCACAUUGGGACUGAGACACGGCCCAAACUCCUACGGGAGGCAGCAGUAGGGAAUCUUCGGCAAUGGACGAAAGUCUGACCGAGCAAUGCCGCGUGAGGGAAGAAGGGUUUCGGAUCGUAAAACUCUGUCGGUAGAGAAGAACGUUGGUGAGAGUGGAAAGCUCAUCAAGUGACGGUAACUACCCAGAAAGGGACGGCUAACUACGUG
rnacentral:rRNA from 1 species